GUCGGAUUGUUCCUCCCCCGAGUUCCCAGUUGUUUUGAGCACACUGAAGUCGGAAGGAAGACGUUUCCGAGUUUCCCAUGGUCUUGAACACACUGAAGUCGGAGGGAGACAUUUCCGAGUUCCCAGUGGUCUUGAACACAGCAUUGUCUCAGUGGAGGAAGAAAAUAGACAAGACGAACUGCUAAUAAUACCUACCACCAACAGGGCUUCUUGAACCAAGAGCACCUACCACCACAGGGCUUCUUGAACCAAGACACCUACCACCAACGGGCUUCUGAACAAAGCACCUACCACCAACAGGCUUCUUGACCAAGAGCACCUACCACCAACAGGCUUCUGAUCCAAGCGACCUACCACCAACAGGGUCUUCUUGAACCAAGAGCACCUACCACCAACAGGCUUCUUGAACCAAGAGCACCUACCCACCAACACGGGCUUCUUGAUCCAAGAGCCACCUACCACCAAACAGGGCUUCUUGAUCCAAGGCACCUACCACCAACAGGGCUUCUUGAUCCAAGAGCACCUACCACCACAGGCUUCUUGAUCCAAAGGGCACCUACCACCCAACGGCGUCUGAACCAAGUCCACCUUCCACCAACAGGGCGUCUGAACCAGUCCACCUUCCACCAAACGGCUUCUGAACCAGUCCACCAUCCCCCAACAGGGCGUUGAACCAAGUCCACCUUCCACCAACAGGGCGUCUGAACCAGUCCACCUUCCACCAACAGGGCGUCUGAACCAAGUCCACCUUCCACCAACAGGGCGUCUGAACCCCGUCACCUUCCACCAACGGGCUUCUUGAACCAAGUCCACCUUCCACCACGGGGUCGAACAGUCCACCUCCACUCCACCAACAGGGCGUCUGAACCAAGUCCACCUUCCACCACAGGGCGUCUGAACCAAGUCCACCUUCCACCCACGGGCGUCUCUGAACCAAGUCCACCUUCCAACCAACGGGCGUCUGAACAAGUCCACCUUCCACCAACAGGGCGUCUGAACCAAGUCCACCUUCCACCAACAGGGCGUCUGAACCAAGUCCACCUUCCACCAACAGGGCGUCUGAACCAAGUCCACCUACCACCAACAGGGCGUUGAACCAAGUCCACCUUCCACCAACAGGCGUCUGAACCAAGUCCACCUUCCACCAACAGGG
rnacentral:lncRNA from 1 species